AUCCUUUGCAUUAAAUUUUAAGAUUUCAUUUAUUUCAUCAUG
rnacentral:antisense_RNA from 1 species